CUUCAUUGAUGAGACGAUGACGAGUCGGAACAGGUCUCUGUCUGGUUCUGGCUGUGACUGGUCCAGUCUCACGUUCUGUGGUUCUGAUCCGGUCGUUCAGACCAGCGAGAUCGUUUAAGUUGAAGACAUCGAGGCAUUUGUCUGAAAAGG
ensembl:snoRNA SNORD15 Small nucleolar RNA SNORD15